AUUGAACGCUGGCGGCAGGCCUAACACAUGCAAGUCGAGCGAGCGGCGGACGGGUGAGUAAUGUAUGGGGCUCUGCCCGAUGGAGGGGGAUAACUACUGGAAACGGUGGCUAAUACCGCAUACUAUCGGAUGAACCAAGAUGGGAUUAGCUAGGAGGUGGGGUAAAGGCUCACCAAGGCGACGAUCUCUAGCUGGUCUGAGAGGAUGAUCAGCCACACUGGAACUGAGACACGGCCCAGACUCCUACGGGAGGCAGCAGUGGGGAAUAUUGCACAAUGGGCGCAAGCCUGAUACAGCCAUGCCGCGUGUAUGAAGAAGGCCUUAGGGUUGUAAAGUACUUUCAGCGGGGAGGCGUUACCCGCAGAAGAAGCACCGGCUAACUCCGUGCCAGCCGCCGCGGUAAUAC
rnacentral:rRNA from 1 species